rnacentral:miRNA from 1 species
GUGUGUGUGUGUGUGUGUGUGUGUGUGUGUGUGUGUGUGUCUGUGUGUGCGCGCGCAUGCACACACACACACACACACACACACACACACACACUU